rnacentral:rRNA from 1 species
UAGGGGAAUUUUCGUUCAAUGGGCGGCAAGCCUGAACGAGCAAUGCCGCGUGAACGAGGAAGGUCUUCGGAUCGUAAAGUUCUGUUGAAGGGGAAAAAGAGCGGAGAGAGGAAAUGCUUUCUGAUUGAUAUUACCCUUCGAGGAAGUCACGGCUAACUACGUGCC